GUGAGUGCGAAUUUAAUUUUCGAAAAUUUACAAACCGUGAGUGGAAGUUUCAGACCUUCUCUACAAGUUACCGCCACUUAGGGGGCAGCCGAGGCAGUCAAGUUUGCUUCACCUAAUUGCUUAUUAGCUUUCAAAACAGAAAUUCAGCGCUAAAUUUUAGUUUUGCGCACAUAAUUCACUUCUUUUUUCGUGUGUACUCUUGGAAACGUCUGGUGGUGAAUUUAUUUCGCGAUCGCUUUAAAGCCCGAAACAAUUCAAUUUGUCACAUGCGAUUUCCGCCAUAAAUUUCCGGCGUGACACACACACCGGCACCACCAGCAGCGAUUCGCGUCCUUGAUUUUUCUCGUUUUGCGCAAAACCUGCCUGAAUUUAUAUCUUAGUCUCAUAUUAGACGUUUUGUAUCGUUAAAACGUCAAAACGUGAAAAUGAAUACGGAAAAAAUCGACGCCAUGAAUAAAUCAUCGUCGCGUGGCUGGCGGUUUUUGUUUUAAUAUAAAUUUUAAAAAUUGAUUUAUUCUCCACAUGCGGAAUAAAAUAACUUGUUUGUUGUACGGGCGCAAGAUGGUGAUAAAUAAUUAAUCGUA